GUUGCGUUACUUAACUCAUGCAUUCAGGUUUUUCCUUUAAUAUGUCAAUUGUGUGUAUAUUUGAACUGCAACGUUGCACUCAGCGUUCCUAAAUUCAAAGCUGAGUCAUCAGCUAACACUGGCAAAUAUAAUUCAUGUGACACUGACUGUUGCAGAGUGCAGCACUUUCCAUUAGGCAAAAGAAAAUAUCAUUCUGUAUGUUUCAUCUAUGUUUUUUUUUUUUUUUUCAACUGGACCAGUGAAAUGCAAUUAAGUUGUAAAAAUACACAAACAGGAAAUUGGAGCUGAAAUUUCACUUCAAACUCAAUGAAAUGUGGCAGUUACAGUGAAAGAGGUACAGAGUGAGGAACAAAAGAAGGCAGAGGGAAGGCGGGGGAGAGCUCCUUGCUCCUUGACUUCAAUCAGUGCCUGUUGUUUGCCAACAGCUACACUCUCCACCCUGCUUCACACCGGAGGUUGACAGGGUCAAUCCAAUUGCAGCUCAGGCUUUGGCCUCUUUCAUUCUCCUUUCAUACAGGAGAUAAGCACAUGACGUAGAUCUAUUGAAUGCCCACGUUCAAGCCAUGUUUGACCCCAUUCAUAUGAGACUGCUGUCACAGGUUAAUCUUGUGCUGUUGUCAGUGUUUGUAGAGGCUCCAUUCUGCAACUGUAGUUGUCAACAUAUUGCUGCAAAACCUUGGUAUAAGACAGAAUUACAUUACAGAGGUACCAAAUACACUUUCAACUCUCUCCUCACACUCAUCCCUUCUUUCAGCCCUUUCUAGACAAGUCAGGUUGUUGGUUUAACAAUAAAUUCCCUUCCGUAAUGGAAACGCCUGUUCACCAAAACCAGGAGGAGGGUCAAAAGGUCAGACUGGAUGAUGUGUGUUGACCCAUUCGGAUCGAACAACAUGGUUGAACCUGCAUCGCUGACAGGAGAAAUCAGACCCAAACUUAGACGUACAGAACAUUUGAAAUAUAGCAUUUAUCUUGGCCAAGAGGAACUGUAUUUACAAUACUCUGACCUGACAACUGACCCGGAACCUACAGGCUAUGCAACAUGCUCACAGAACCAAACAAAACAAAGUUAAAGUUGCAGUUGUUCUGUGCCAAUACAACCCAGGAAGUACAGCUAAGAGCUUGUACAGGGUGUAGCACAGAAACUGUGGCCCUCAGGGAGUCCUCAGGGACUGUAGGAGCAGCAUUGACGUGGAACACUGUGGACUCUUACAGCCUGACAGCAAAACAAGAUUCCUAUCCCCCGGUGUUCAGGACCUUCCAGUUGUAACCUCAAAAUACAACCUGAGAACAUCAUGUAGCCCCUUUCUCCUCCAAAGCUAUGCCCUGAGGUAAGCCUCCACCUAAUACCAACAAGUGCACCUGAGGGCAAAGUAUUUUUAAAGCCCAGAGAAGAUUCUGAGGUAGAGAGGAGAGGAGAGGAGAGGAGAAGAGAAGAAAAGAGAAGAGAAGAUCUUUUUGGAGGAAAGUGGAUAAGCAGUGGGGGGUGUUGCCUGGAGGAGAGACACUCUGCUGUUACUGAUUGUCCAGUGAAUGGGUCAAUCUAUCGAUAGACUCCUCUGUUUGUUGUAUAUCCACUAACACACAAACUGACACUCACACACACAAAACCACAUUCUCUAAGAAGCUCCAUUUACCCCCUGAAGUUAAGCUGAGGCAGUGGUGAGAAUGUAUUCUCUGGCUUGUCAUCUUUGAAAACACUCUUCCUCUGAGGCUCUGUCAGCAAGUUGUGAUGGAUAACAGGGCAGUAUAUUAUGUGUUUGUGCCUUAAAGGAAGUGCAGACACACACAAGACACCUGUGCACGUUUGGGUAUAGCUGAAAUAGCACGGGCAAUCCCUCGAUGGCAUUACCAAAGUUUGUUAUUUAUUCUGCAGCCCUGCAACAUCAAGAAACUCUGUGAAAGGUGCCACAGUUGAUAUAAAGGAGGAACAAAAAGGAAAUUGCUUUUAGAAUCAGUUCAUGAAAGAUUUAUCAGGAAUCAGGAACAAGACAUCUGGCAAAAGUGCAUAACCUGCUGGAAUGUUGUUUGAGAUUUCCGCAUCUAACACACAUCUGUCAGCCUUUAGAGUGCAGAAAAAGGGAGUUUUUUAAAAGUAAAGCAUUGAAUCCUCGAGAGAGACCUUCAGGCCUGCAUGCACUCAGCUGAGUUUUUGUCUUUUGUGUAACAACGGAAAUACAGCACACAAACAUAUCUCUAUCAUUUCACUUCUUGCAAAUGUAUUUUAUGCAGCAUGUGCAGCAGUUAAAAACACAGCAUUUAUCUUUAAUUGUAUUUCAUUUAACUAUCCAUGUUCUAAUUUCUGGCCAUCCUACAAAUAUACACAUGUGCACUGUGGUAAAAGUAAAGGGAAUGGCUUUAGGUGCAACAGAGAAAAGGGAGAAUUGACGCUGUAGUGUUAUGAGUCAACACAAAUCCUUUAAAUCAACCUACAAUGGCAUAGUAGGUGCUAAUCACCUAUAACAUGAGGUCCACAGCUUUAAUCAGAGAUUGAUCGUGCCUUCAACAAUAUCAAUAGCUCUUAUUGAUAAGGAAGUAGAGGUCACCCUAUAACACAAUAGCAGGGCUCUUGGAUGUUAGGUGUUUAAUAUCCCAAACUAGUGCCAUUUCAACUUUCAUAUAAUGAAUCUACAUGAGCAUUUAGGAGACAUUCUUACAAUCACUAGAGUCUACAGAACAGUGUUUAAAACAAACAAAACAGGUCUUGUAUGUGCUAAGUGGACCAGAGGCCAGUGCCGCAUCAAUUUUUGCAUUUAUUUUCUUUUCCUUUAUGACAUAAAAUAAAAUGUGCAGUACGGCUGUAAAUACUCAUUUUGUUUGAUGCUUUUUUUUCUGACGAGAUAACAUGAUGAAAAGAUUUGUGUCAUAAUAUUCCUGUAGUUAUGCUCUCAAUGAGUUGUUAAAACUGAGCAGGGCAGUGUCUGAACAUUAAGAAUAUUUCAUUAUUUAUCAGCUUUUGACAGGAGCAUUUAUUCAGGAUUUCAGCAGAUAAGCAUCAAAAUAAC